rnacentral:rRNA from 1 species
GACGAACGCUGGCGGCGUGCCUAAUACAUGCAAGUUGAGCGCUGAAGGUUGGUACUUGUACCAACUGGAUGAGCAGCGAACGGGUGAGUAACGCGUGGGGAAUCUGCCUGUGAGCGGGGGACAACAUUUGGAAACGAAUGCUAAUACCGCAUAAAAACUUUAAACACAAGUUUUAAGUUUGAAAGAUGCAAUUGCAUCACUCAAAGAUGAUCCCGCGUUGUAUUAGCUAGUUGGUGAGGUAAAGGCUCACCAAGGCGAUGAUACAUAGCCGACCUGAGAGGGUGAUCGGCCACAUUGGGACUGAGACACGGCCCAAACUCCUACGGGAGGCAGCAGUAGGGAAUCUUCGGCAAUGGACGAAAGUCUGACCGAGCAACGCCGCGUGAGUGAAGAAGGUUUUCGGGUCGUAAAACUCUGUUGGUAGAGAAGAACGUUGGUGAGAGUGGAAAGCUCAUCAAGUGACGGUAACUACCCAGAAAGGGACGGCUAACUACGUG